AUGAGAACUAGGAGUAGUAGCCUUGGUUAUUACUCCGAACACUCCACCCUUUGUUUACAUUACCUUUGUUGCUUUAGCAGGCCCGCCUUUUGGCCGCCGGCACCUGCUGGUCAGCGCCUGCUAAAGAACCUAAAACUCUUGUUAAUAAUAUUGUCUGAGUACUAUAUAAUAGUUA
rnacentral:misc_RNA from 1 species